GACCAGGGUGCAGGCGCCCGCCGACCCCGGGCGAGACCCCAGAGCCGCGAGCACACACGCACUUGUUUGCUCAGGCUUGAAGCUCCGGGUGGCCUGUUACGCAGCGACAGCCGACUGGAGCAGGGACCACGGUGCGAGCCGAGAGCCACCACGGCGGUGGGGACGCCGGCCGGUGCAGCAAGACAAGAAAAAAGAAAAGGAACGGAGGUUGGAGAGAAAAGAUUUCAGAAAACCCAAGAAAGAAGAACUAAACACAGCAGAGCAGGCGGCCGGCAGCUAACCCAAGGUCACGGCGCUCCCAGCCGGGGAGAAUGGGGAGUCUGGGAGUCUGUGCCCUCUGCGCCCACCCCCUGCUCCUUAUACGCCUGCCUCGCCUGGUUCCACGCUUGCCUCCCCGUACUAAACAGCUACAGGCGCGCACACGCCCCAGCGCUGGGCUGGCGCCCCGAAAGCCGCACCCCCCACCCCCUAACACUCCCGGGAGACGACCGCCACUGGACCCACUUUACAGCCGGGGAGACUGAGGCCCAGAGGUCUCAGAGGCAAGUUCAAGGUAGCUCUGUGGCAGGGGCUCCAGAGUCUCUGCAGACGCGCUCCGCCCGCAAGGGCUGGCGGUCGGGUGUGCUCAAGGCAGCCCAAGCCGGCCGCCCU